GAAAGCAACGUUAUUGUUUUGGCAUCGUGAGUAUAUAUUAUCAUAAGUCCGACUUACUAGAAAUAUAGCGUUCUCUCCUGAAAAGUAGUAACAAACCAUAUCGUCCACGACAUAAAGAAGUAGCAAGCUUCAAAGUUCAAACUUUGAGUUGACUGCUACCUGAUGCUAACCACCUGCAUGGAAAGAUCUAUGAAUCACUAUUGCAGUUCAAAAUGUUGCUUAAGUAACCGCUCAGGUGCAGAAUGAAAAGUUUUCGUUUACUGGCAAUACUUUAGGCCUUAUAUCGGAUGGAUGGGAGUAAAUGUGAACAUCAGAAGUAGAGAUUUUUAUUUUAUAAAUCAUCAACCACCACUUCAUGGAUCAAUUCUAGAAUUCCAAAUAUAUCUCAGUGUAGUCCAUCAUUCGGUGCGAUAUUGCCACAAAAUUGACUUCAACAACCCACGGCCGGUGAUAUAUAAUACCUAACAAUCAAACAUUAUUAGGUAUAGUUUGUCGACAGAAAAUUACGUUUUUAAUCGUUACAAAUGAAACGCAAAUGUUUGCAGUAACAUUAACAGAUCAUACGUCAGGUUUCAUGUAAGAAGAACUGAUGCUUCGAAAAAGUAUUAUUAUGAAUCCCAUUUAUAUCAGAAACCAGUGAAGAACACGCGCAUCGGGAAAGUGCUCAUAGCGAUUAGUGUCUUGACUCGAUUUAUACGUUAUCGCAUAUUCUGAAAGAUUUUCUAGAGAUUAUCGAUGAUAACAUGAAUAAUACCAUGUGUUAGAUGUACCAUAUAACCGGUAUUUUAUGUUUCUAUCUUCAACAUUAUUCGAAGCACGAUUUUUCAAUGUUCAAUACAUUUUUUCUAAAUGACAAUAUAAUCUUUCGAUCUCACUGCAUUUAAUGACAAUAUCGAUUCGACGAACGAUUAUGUAUCAUCGCAAGGUUUCAGCUCAGCGAAUACUCCAGUUAUUGACAUUUCUACAAUAUUUCGUAGGUCCUAAUACUAUGAAAUCUGAAAACGUACUGACAUGGUUCUAAAUAUUAAUUUGUUCGUAUAGGGAUAUUACGCUCUUUUUUUAUUUCCGAUAGAUGGAAGAUCUUAGAAUUUUUCUUCCAUUUACAGCCAUAUCCAGCAAUUCGAGCAUAGAAAAAUUUAAUAUGAACACAUAACUUUAUUCAUUCUAUUACUGUGUCGAGAUUUUAUUGUUGUCGAUUCACACGGAAAAACACUGCGAGGUUUUCUCGCUUGUAAAGAAGAUGCGUCACCGAGAGGCGAGAGAAUUUCACAAUUCUCGUAAUUUCGUCACAGUCGUAAGAUAAACGGUAAACUCAACAUGGAAGUACGUGAGAUCGCAAAUCUUGGAGCGCCUAGCAACGAAAACGUGAUGAUAGGAUCAACGACAAUACUCCAAAUACGACACCAACGAACAGCGCGAGAAGGCUACUGUUUUUCUUCAACGAUACGACUAGCGAUACCAAGACGCACUACACAUUUUUAUACUAUUAUAUUUGCGUAAUCUAUUUGAAAAAUCGUACCUUCCCUCUAAUAUUUCUUAAAUAAAUUACAUUAAAUUGA